GACGAACGCUGGCGGCGUGCCUAAUACAUGCAAGUAGAACGCUGAAGGAGGAGCUUGCUCUUCUGGAUGAGUUGCGAACGGGUGAGUAACGCGUAGGUAACCUGCCUGGUAGCGGGGGAGAACUAUUGGAAACGAUAGCUAAUACCGCAUAACAGUAGAUGUUGCAUGACAUUUGCUUAAAAGGUGCAAUUGCACCACUACCAGAUGGACCUGCGUUGUAUUAGCUAGUUGGUGGGGUAACGGCUCACCAAGGCGACGAUACCUAGCCGACCUGAGAGGGGGGUCGGCCAAACUGGGACUGAGACACGGCCCAGACUCCUACGGGAGGCAGCAGUAGGGAAUCCUCGGCAAUGGACGGAAGUCUGACCGGGCAACGCCGGGUGGGUGAAGAAGGGUUUCGGAUCGUAAAGCUCUGUUGUAAGGGAAGAACGAGUGUGAGAGUGGAAAGUUCACGCUGCGACGGUAUCUUACCAGAAAGGGACGGCUAACUACGUG
rnacentral:rRNA from 1 species